rnacentral:rRNA from 1 species
CCCUUAGAUGUCCUGGGCCGCACGCGCGCUACAAUGACCGGCGCAGCAAGUUUUCCUGACCUGGAAAGGUUCGGGUAAUCUUUACAACACCGGUCGUGUUAGGGAUCGAUCUUUGGAAUUAUAGAUCUUGAACGAGGAAUUCCUAGUAAGUGCAAGUCAUCAGCUUGUACUGAUUACGUCCCUGCCCUUUGUACACACCGCCCGUCGCUGCUACCGAUUUCGAGUGGUCCGGUGAACCUUUUGGACUGUGUCAGGCUCGACCUGAUAUAGGAAGUUAAGUAAACCUUAUCACUUAGAGGAAGCAGAAGUCGUAACA